rnacentral:rRNA from 1 species
AAUCAACGCUGGCGGCGUGCCUCAGACAUGCAAGUCGAACGCGAAAUUUCCCUUCGGGGAGAAAGUAGAGUGGCGCACGGGUGAGUAACACGUAGGUAAUUUGCCUUUGGGUGGGGAAUAACUCAGGGAAACUCGAGCUAAUACCGCAUAAUGCAGCGGCUCGACAUCGAGACAGUUGUUAAAGCGGGGGAUUGGAGCAAUCCGACCUCGCGCCUAAAGAGAAGCCUGCGGCAGAUUAGCUAGUUGGUAAGGUAAUGGCUUACCAAGGCGACGAUCUGUAACCGGCCUGAGAGGGCGGUCGGUCACACUGACACUGACAUACGGGUCAGACUCCUACGGGAGCAGCAGUCGGGAAUUUUGGGCAAUGGGCGCAAGCCUGACCCAGCAACGCCGCGUGAAGGAU